rnacentral:rRNA from 1 species
UACGAAGGGGGCUAGCGUUGUUCGGAAUUACUGGGCGUAAAGGGCGCGUAGGCGGUGUGUCAAGUCAGGCGUGAAAGCCCCGGGCUCAACCUGGGAACCGCGCUUGAGAUCUGGCACGCUCGAGUUCGGGAGAGGGAUGGUGGAAUUCCCAGUGUAGAGGUGAAAUUCGUAGAUAUUGGGAAGAACACCGAUGGCGAAGGCAGCCAUCUGGACCGACACUGACGCUGAGGCGCGAAAGCGUGGAGAGCAAACAGG